GGAUUGGUAGCUCAGUUGGUUAGAGCGCUGCCCUGUCACGGCAGAGGUCGCGGGUUCAAGUCCCGUCCAGUCCG
rnacentral:tRNA from 1 species